rnacentral:rRNA from 1 species
ACGGGGGGCCUACGGGAGGCAGCACUGGGGAAUUUCCACAAUGGGCGCAAGCCUGAUCCAGCAAUGCCGCGUAAUGAAGAAGGCCCUCGGGUUGUAAAGCACUUUUAUCGGGAGGGACAAGUCACUGAUUAAUACCCGGUACCAUGACGGACCUGCAGAA